GAUGAAGAACGUAGCGAAAUGCGAUAAGUAGUGUGAAUUGCAGAAUUCAGUGAAUCAUCGAAUCUUUGAACGCACAUUGCGCCCGCCAGUAUUCUGGCGGGCAUGCCUGUUCGAGCGUCAUUUCAACCCUCAAGCACAGCUUGGUGUUGGGACUCGCGUUAAUUCGCGUUCCCCAAAUUGAUUGGCGGUCACGUCGAGCUUCCAUAGCGUAGUAGUAAAACCCUCGUUACUGGUAAUCGUCGCGGCCACGCCGUUAAACCCCAACUUCUGAAUGUUGACCUCGGAUCAGGUAGGAAUACCCGCUGAACUUAAGAAUAUCAAUAAGCGGAGGA
rnacentral:misc_RNA from 1 species